ACAUCCCAGCUCCUCAUGUCCCACAUUCUUCAGGCUUUCUCUUAGUUUUGGCAUGUGCAUGUAAAUGUCAACAGUGCCCAGAUCAGCGCCUGAUGUAUACUUGGCACACAAUAACUACUCUUGAAAUUCAUGAAGGAAUCUGGACAUUUAGGGGGUUCCUCAGAAUCCGCCGCUUUUAGGGAAGAUUCUCUGCCUGAUGUGUGAGCACUCUAACCUCUUCAUCUGUGUUCAGUCCCCUUGCAAUGCUUCUCUAAGAUCAAUAAAGGCAAAAACCAGGAGAUCCCAUAAAUCCCGCUGAGCCUGUCAUAGCUAUCAAAUUAUACCCAGAUAAAGCUUCUGGUGGCUAAUGACAUGGCCAUCACCCAGCGUGGACGUGGGCAGGAGGGGCUCUCCGGGAGCAUCUGGUCUGCUGUGGAGACACUUGUCAUCUGGAGGCUCUGUGGCUCUAAUGGAGGGUGAUGCUUUGAAUGCGAUUAUCUCCCCCAUAAAAAAAUAAAUAAAUAAUAAGGAUAAUUUAAAAAUAAACAAAGAUCUGGAUUUGCAGGCUA
rnacentral:lncRNA from 1 species